UCCGAUAUUUACUAACUCCCACUCAUUUUAAUUUCAAAAAUAAUAAUAUCUUCUGUUUGUGUUGUUGACAAAAUCGAGACUUUGAGCGGUGGAUUGAAUCAGAUAGAUCUUGGGCGAGAAGAACAUGGCGGACGAGAGAUAUAACCGGAAGAACCCGGCGGUGAAGAGGAUUCUCCAGGAGGUUAAGGAGAUGCAAGCUAAUCCCUCUGACGAUUUCAUGUCUCUCCCCCUCGAGGAGAAUAUAUUUGAGUGGCAAUUCGCGAUCAGAGGCCCUAGCGAGACUGAAUUUGAAGGAGGGAUAUAUCAUGGGAGGAUUCAGUUGCCUUCAGAUUAUCCUUUCAAACCUCCUUCCUUCCUCUUAUUGACCCCUAGUGGUCGUUUUGAAACUAACACCAAGAUUUGCUUGAGUAUUUCUAAUUACCAUCCCGAGCAUUGGCAACCCUCUUGGAGUGUUCGGACUGCUUUGGUGGCUCUCAUUGCGUUCAUGCCUUCAAACCCCAGUGGAGCAAUAGGCUCUGUAGAUUACCCCAAGGAGGAGAGACGUGCACUUGCCACUAAAUCACGCGAGUCACCACCCAAAUAUGGUUCUCCUGAGCGUCAAAAAGUUAUUGAUGAGAUUCAUCAGUACAUGCUCAGCAAGACACCUUCUCCUAAACCUAAUCCUGAGGAAUGUAACAAAACGUCUUCUGCUGAUUCGGAUGGUCAGUCCCAAACCAAGCCGCAGGACACUGAAGCUGCUACAGCCGAACCUGUUACAGCUGUUGAAGAGAAUGUAGUCGAUCAAAUCGCUGAAGAGGCAGGUCAGACAGUUGUUCCUGGAGCAAAUGCAGCGGAAAAUGUUGCAGCGGGAGACAACAGAAACGGUUUGGUGAGGCAGAGGGAGCAAGCGACCGUUGCUGUUAGGGCGGCUCAGAGAAGGGGUGAUGACAGGCUGUUCACGUGGGCAGCGGUUGGACUCACGAUUGCGAUAGUGGUUCUUUUGCUGAAGAAGUUGGUAAGGUCAAGUGGUCAUGGCGCUCUGUUUAUGGAUGAGUCGUGAACGCUGAACUCAAAGAUUGGGAGAUAUGGACGAAGAAAGCAUCAAAAGUUGGAAGUAUUUAUAUAUCAUAUGUAUCUAUUACGUAAAUGAAGAAAUAAGUAAUUAAUUAUACUAAAUGAGUUUGUUUGAUAAUGUGCUAAAAACUUUUUCUUUCUGAUUUUUUUUGUGUUAA